UACGAAGGGGGCUAGCGUUGCUCGGAAUACUGGGCGUAAAGGGCGCGUAGGCGGAUAGUUUAGUCAGAGGUGAAAGCCCAGGGCUCAACCUUGGAACUGCCUUUGAUACUGGCUAUCUUGAGUUCGGGAGAGGUGAGUGGAAUGCCGAGUGUAGAGGUGAAAUUCGUAGAUAUUCGGCGGAACACCGGUGGCGAAGGCGACUCACUGGCCCGAUACUGACGCUGAGGCGCGAAAGCGUGGGGAGCAAACAGG
rnacentral:rRNA from 1 species